AUUACUAAGCGGAGGAAAAGAAACUAACUAGGAUUCCCCCAGUAACGGCGAGUGAAGCGGGAAGAGCCCAGCACCGAAUCCCCUGCCUUCGGUAGGUGGGACCUGUGGCGUUCGGGACGUCGGUNGCGUCCGGGGAGCUUCGUCCGAGUCCUCCUGAUCGGGGCUUCCCAUAGCGGGUGUCAGGCCUCUA
rnacentral:rRNA from 1 species